UGAUCUGGCCAAGAAUGAUCCGUGGAAAGAGCCAUUUGAGAAUCUCCCUGAGAACGCAUUUGAGGAUAUUGCAGAUUGGGAGAGGAAAUUGAUUCAAGAACGUGUUAGGGCCAACCGUGGAACCUGAAGAUCUGUAGAGCUUAUGUAUGGCUUCGGAAUAAAAAAAAUCUACUUUUUGUAUAUUGUAAAGCUACUUAUGACUACAAAACCCCUGUGGUUGUUUUCUUCUCAACGUUUACAAAGCAUGAGGCAUUGGUCUCAAGACUUUGCACUAAAUGUUCUUAAGUUUACCAAAAUUCACACGUUAUUCUGGAUUUUAAAGAAGUAUUUUAUAGUAAUCAUAACACUUUUUCAACAAAAUUAGUGAUGGGAUAUUGGGAGAAUUUCCAUAUAGCAGACAUUGGCUCAUGUAAAUAAGUGUUCUAUUUCUGACUUAUGAAUUAAUCUGGGGUUUCUAUAUUCUUGGCCUAUGGACCCAUGCUAUAUAUGCUUUUUGGGCCAACGACCACAUACAAACUUGGUUUCAGGAUCUAUCAAUGUAAAUAUGUCUGCUUUCUACGCUCAAAAAGUCGUAUUUUAACUAUAUCUUGAGCAAGAACAACCAUAAAGUCAAAUAACUUUAUCAAAAAGUCCAUAAAGUCAACAAAAUUCCACCGCAAUAUACAAUAAAAGAGAUUCGUGUUAUCUGCAACCAAAGUUCAAAUUUGGCUGAGCUAAUGAAGGAGACAAAAGCUGCAUGUUCACACACACGUUAUGACGUUAAUAGUAUGUGUCACAAUGUCAGUGCAUGUCAGCAUGUAUAUGUGUACUUGAUGCGUGUGACGGUGAGAGUGUGAUCGUGUGGGGGAGGCUUGGGGAACAAGAAGAAGGACGCGGUCAAAAGUGCCGGUGCUUCGGCCUUUAAUGGUAGUAGUUGGAUUCUCCAUUCAUGAAAUAAAGUGCAUGAUUAUCUCCUUUCAAUUUGUUUUUUGGGGGGAUAUGAGGGAGGCGAUUCCGGCGUUCGUGACGAUGAUUAUGAUGCCGUUGACGUACUCGGUGGCGUACGGGUUGAUCGGAGGGAUAGGGACGUAUGUGGUGUUGCAUCUGUGGGAUUGGGGAGAGGAAGGGAUGGUGAGAUUGGGGUUUUUGAAAAGGAAAGUUGAAGAAGAGGAUAACAGCAAUGGAGUUGCCAAAAUUAGCGAGACUCAUACGUCCGUUUAGUUAUUUUCUUUAAAAAUUCGUAUGUUUCACAUUUUUGUUUCUAUUGAUUUGUACAACUGAGUGAUUGUUUAUUUGUAUCUCUUGUAGAUUUUUAAAUGGAAAAUUGUAAAAAUGGGGGGAAAAUAAUCUCGACAAGACUUUUCAUGUUCAGAAAGAAAAUUAUAUAUUAGGAUAGGACAGAAAUAAAUACUGUAUAUGAAUACUCCAAUAGUUAGUUUUGAAAGUUAUGUAAUGGAAAGUUGAGUUUGGUUUUUGAAAUGGUUAGUUUUGGUUACUCCAAUGGUAACAAAAUCAAACAUUCAUAUAUGAAUACUGACCUCCCAAGAAAAACAUUCAUAUAUGAAUACUAGUGAGUACUAGUAUUAGGCGUAUAAUCACAACUCAAAUCUAACAAGAACUUCAUUGAGAAGGGAGAAACCUUGGUCAGUGGCAGGUUCAAUUCAGAACAGAAGCAAAAAACCAAGGGAUGAAUACGUUACUCAUAUGAUAUGAUGACUCGCAAAAGCUGGUAACAAAAGCAUAACACCUCAAUAUUUGACAGAACCAAAAUGACGUGUGUGUGUGUGUGAUCACACAGUUAUGAUUUAGUACUCGCAGAAGCACCUUUGCAAAAACACACAAAUUGAAUAGAGUCAGAUUAAGGUUCAUUAUUCACAUUUCACUUAGCUGUUAACUCUUCUAACCAAGCAAACACACGCUUUAAAAAAAAUUCAACCUGUGAAUCAGGAGGAAAUUUAAAUUUACAUGCCAAUCAGGCUUAUCUAAUGGGCCAGAAUCUAAUAUUAAAAGCCCAUAAAAGAAAAAGGCCCAAUAGUAACAAAACAUCGUUAUCGUCCGUGCGAAAGGUUUGUGUGACCAUUAUUGUAAAACGUGAUAUUCUGCUGCAGAUACCAAUGUCGCAUCAGAGAAGCAGAACAAGUGAUAGAGAGUGAGUGAGAGAGAAGGAAACGAUGAGUUUCGCUGGAAGCAAGAGCUGUAUUUUCUCCCUUACGAAUCACUACAAAGAAAAUGAUAAAUCUUUCCGGCUCAAUUCGAUUAACAAACCAUCGAUUGAUCCAAAAAGAUUCCCGAGAAAUCUGGGAGUUUCCUGCAAAAUCUCAGGGAGUAAUGGAGCUGAGGAGAACCCAGGGAAGAAUGGGGUUUCUCUCAGCUCCAAGAACAAGAUGGAAGAUUACAAUACAGCUAUGAAGAGACUAAUGAGGAGCCCAUAUGAAUAUCAUCAUGAUCUCGGUACGAAUAUGACUUUCAGACACGAUCUAGUUAGUUUGUUGUUUAUCAGUAAUAAAGACUGUUCCUUUGACUCUGUGAUUAAGUCUUGUAGUAUAACUAAUAGUAAGUUUAGUUAGACUAAAGCUGCCGUUUUGGAGGUUAUGGUUUCUUAACCUUAGAUUAGGACAAAACUAUACUACAUUGGUCUUAAUGUUAUUUUGGAAAGUGUUUCUAACUAUGGAUGUGAGAAUGUUUCUAAAAAAUUGUUUUUUUUUUGUUGGGUCUUUGAUCUGUUCUUUUAAGGCAUGAACUAUACAUUGAUAAGAGACGAGCUGAUCGUUGGGUCACAGCCACAGAAGCCUGGGGAUAUAGACCACUUGAAGAAAGAAGAGAACGUUGCUUACAUACUUAACUUGCAACAAGACAAGGACGUUGAGUAUUGGGGAAUCGAUCUUGACUCCAUUGUCAAAAGAUGUAAAGAGGUCGGAAUCCGUCACAUGAGAAGACCCGUAAGAGAAUCAUUUCCCAAUGUUUUCAACCUGUGGAGUCAUAUAUGAAUGCUUAUCAGUUUGGGUGUCUUGUUUAUGAUUAGGCUAAAGACUUUGAUCCACUUUCGUUGAGAAGCCAGCUUCCGAAAGCUGUGUCUUCUCUGGAAUGGGCGGUGUCAGAAGGCAAAGGAAGAGUUUACGUGCAUUGCACAGCUGGAUUGGGAAGAGCUCCUGCGGUUUCUAUUGCUUAUAUGUAUUGGUUCUGUGGCAUGAACGUAAGUUAAUAUCCUCUUACUCAACUUCACUUCCAAGAAAGUUUUUUUAGUGAUCUGAUUUGGUGUGUUUCGAAACAGCUGAACACUGCUUAUGACGCAUUGGUGUCAAAGCGUCCAUGUGGGCCUAACAAAGGAGCUAUACGUGGGGCUACAUAUGAUCUGGCCAAGAAUGAUCCGUGGAAAGAGCCAUUUGAGAAUCUCCCUGAGAACGCAUUUGAGGAUAUUGCAGAUUGGGAGAGGAAAUUGAUUCAAGAACGUGUUAGGGCCAACCGUGGAACCUGAAGAUCUGUAGAGCUUAUGUAUGGCUUCGGAAUAAAAAAAAUCUACUUUUUGUAUAUUGUAAAGCUACUUAUGACUACAAAACCCCUGUGGUUGUUUUCUUCUCAACGUUUACAAAGCAUGA
rnacentral:lncRNA from 1 species